GCAUCUUAAAUCAAAAUGCAGAAUUCCUUUACUCUGAAAGCUUCAGAAAUACAUGCUAAUCUAGUGUCAAAAGCUUUGCACAUCCUGUGAAUAGCACAGCCGACACUUUUGUUCCAUUGAGUAUGUCCAAUAAUCUCUGUAAACCAGACUUCUCACUUUUGUCAGAGAACAGGUUAAAUGAUGGUUUGGUGGCUUUGACUGAAGUUCAUGUCAUGGGAAGCCCUGAAGUUACCAGUAACAAGUCAAUGCUUUUCCAGAAGAUAAGACAGGUCCCACAGGUUGUGAGGCUGCCCGAGAGUUGUUCUUCCACAUAAACUGGCUCUAGGCCAGCCCAUGGGUCCUCAAGCAUUGAAGGUCUGUAAUAGUUUUCCACAUCAUUAGACACUCUUUUCUCUCUGCCAUGCGCUGUACCAAAUGGAGUAGAUGUCCUGGGUGAUCCCUUUGGAAGAAAACCAUCAGAACUCAAAAGGAAGCUGAACUGACAUAGUGAUUUGCAGCAUCCGGUGCCAGAACAAAAUAAUUCAAUGGUAAGGCUCUUUUGGAUGGAUUUCUUUUAUUGUAAUAAAUUUCACCAUAAUAUAAUGCAGGCCAUCAGCAACACUGACAUUUUAACAUGGUUGAAAUCUAGGAAAUCUAUUAGUAUGUAAUACAA